CCAAUAUUAUUACAAAGUUUGGAGUAUAUUUAAAAUAAGUUAAAAAUUGGAAUAAGCUGUAAAAACAGCAGUCUAAAGUAGCAAGUCUUCAAGGACUUCUUCAAAGCCAAUGGUUGAAAUUCAUGCCCCAAUUUUAGCCUCCAAAGCUGGUGCCGCCCUCUCUUCACUUAAUGUCCACUCACCUUUUGCAAACCUGCAAAACCAAUUCACAAUUUAAAAAAAAAUAGCUUAUCCAAAUAAGCACUUUAAAAACUAGAAAGUAAAGGAUGGAACAAACAGAUUAAUUCUUUACACAACAAACCAAGAAGAACGUUCAAAGAUCACAUUCCAAUAUCCAAACCAACAACCUUAAGUCCAUAAGAUUAAUCAUCCCACAAAAUCUGGAGAAAGGAUAGCUUGGCAAGUUAUCUUAUAACCAACAAUGAGCAUAUAUAAACAACAACAAAACUAAUUAACGAACAGUUUUUGAACUCAGAGGAAAUUGUUAAGAAAAUGUUUUCUCUGCUAAACCACAAACAAAAGAACAAGACACACAUUUUUUGACAGAUUCAACAGAAUAACCAAAUACUUCCCAACUCAAUCAAAGACUUUUUUUUCCAGAGAACAAUCAAACAAUAAUCCAUAAAAACCUCUAAACCCUAAAACUCAAGCCAAGCAACAACAACACUCAAAGCAAAAAUAAAAGAAAGUGAAAAAUAGAAGAAGAUGGAGAACUUAUCUUAAACCGUGGGGAGCUUCGCCGGAGUUGGAUUUCAAACACGUAAUUCUUUUUCCUUCGUUCAAGUCUUUUCAUCAUCAUCAUCAUUUACGCCUCUUCAUACUGGAUGAGAUCCUUCUUUUAAUUUCUUCAAAACUUUGUUGUAGAACUUCAAAUCUUGAAUCUAGGGUUAGGCUUUGGGUGUUUAAGUUUUUGGUCUAGGUUAAGACCGAAUCAAGCUACGUUUGGCCGUGUCAGAAGGAGAGUUUAGGGUUGGGGUUAGUUUUGGUGUUUCGAGGGAGGGCCUCGAUCCGGCCAUUUGAGGAAGAAUUUGGAAAAAGUGAGUUCGGAUUUGAACUCAGAAGCUAAAAAAGGUGAGGUUUGGUUGUUUUUUUAGGGUUGAGGGUGGUGGUCACUGGAGAAGACGGUGGCGGCCACCGCGAGCCGCCGCUUCUCCCAUGAAGGUUGAACGGAGGUGGUGGUGAAAAUUGCAGAGAAAUUUUCUUCUUUCUUUUAGGCGAGGUAGAGGGAGAGAGCGAAG
rnacentral:lncRNA from 1 species